ACAUUGAUAGCUUAAACAUAGAGCAUGGCACUGAAGAUGCCAGGGUAGCAUAAUUGCUUCAAAGUA
rnacentral:tRNA from 1 species